UCCCUGGUUGUUAAGUGGUUAGAACUUGGCUCUUUCACUGCUAUGGACCUGGGUUCAAUCCCUGGUAAGGGAA
rnacentral:tRNA from 1 species